CCAAAGACACCUCACCGCCAGAGGAGUUUGUGCUCAUUGACCCUGAAGCAGACGCAGACGUACGGCCACAGAUCCAAGCUUUCAUAACCAAGACCUUCGAAGGAGAGCUGGGAUCAAAACGAUUUGAACGCUUCUCCAACUGGAAGUCACUUAUUCGAGCCAUUACCAAGCUCAUACACAAGGCCAGGUCUUGUACAAAGGGCUCAAUCAGCAAUACGGAUGAGCCAACACAAGCAAGACUAAUAGUCAUCAGAAACGCUCAACACGAUACAUUUGCUGAGGAGAUGAAAUGCCUUUCCAGAGGUGAAAUCGUUCCAAAGUCAAGCCCUCUGAGGAAACUGAAUCCAAUUGUGGAUAAGGACGGCCUGCUGAGAGUUGGAGGACGCAUUCCUUUGGCUGACAUACCCUGGGAAGAGAAACAUCCAAUCAUUGUCCCCAGAAAGCACCACGUAGCAACCUUAUUGGUGAGACAUUACCAUGCAAAGGUUGCUCAUCAGGGAAGACAUCUGACAGAGGGUGCUGUUCGCUCUGCUGGAUUGUGGCUGAUUGGAGGCAAGAGACUGGUGUCAAGCAUCAUACAUAAAUGUGUGACCUGUAAUAAGCUGAGAGGAAGAAUGGAAGAACAAAAAAUGUCAAGCCUACCUGCUGAACGUCUCGACCCGGGUCCUCCGUUCACAAAUGUAGGUGUCGAUGUGUUCGGCCCUUGGACCAUAAGCUCAAGACGAACUCGCGGCGGCAUUGCAGAGAACAAACGCUGGGCAGUCAUCUUUACUUGCAUGGUAACAAGAGCUGUGCAUAUCGAAGUUCUCGAGUCUCUGUCCUCCUCAAGCUUUGUUAAUUCAUUAAGGAGAUUCACAGCUGUCCGUGGACCUGUCCGCCUGUUUCGUUCUGACCAGGGAACGAACUUCAUUGGGGCAUGCAAGGAACUUCAGAUCAAAUCUGAUGAUCAGGAACUAAAUGCUUACCUUCACAAUCAAAGCUGCACCUGGACCUUUAAUCCUCCCCACUCCUCCCAUAUGGGUGGAGUGUGGGAGCGUAUGAUAGGUAUUGCCCGUAGAAUACUGGAUGCACUGUUGUUACAGACAAACACUGCCCACCUGUCUCAUGAAGUUUUGGUCACACUCAUGGCU
ensembl:lncRNA